rnacentral:rRNA from 1 species
GACGAACCCUUCGGGGUUAGUGGCGCACGGGUGCGUAACGCGUGGGAACCUGCCUUUAGGUUCGGAAUAACUCAGAGAAAUUUGAGCUAAUACCGGAUAAUGUCUUCGGACCAAAGAUUUAUCGCCUUUAGAUGGGCCCGCGUUAGAUUAGAUAGUUGGUGGGGUAACGGCCUACCAAGUCGACGAUCUAUAGCUGGUCUGAGAGGAUGAUCAGCCACACUGGGACUGAGACACGGCCCAGACUCCUACGGGAGGCAGCAGUGGGGAAUAUUGGACAAUGCGGGAAACCGUGAUCCAGCAAUGCCGCGUGAGUGAUGAAGGCCUUAGGGUUGUAAAGCUCUUUUACUAGGGAUGAUAAUGACAGUACCUAGAGAAUAAGCUCCGGCUAACUCCGUGCCAGCAGCCGCGGUAAUACGGAGGGAGCUAGCGUUGUUCGGAAUUACUGGGCGUAAAGCGCGCGUAGGCGGCUAUUCAAGUCAGAGGUGAAAUCCCGGGGCUCAACCCCGGAACUGCCUUUGAAACUAGAUAGCUAGAAUAUUGGAGAGGUGAGUGGAAUUCCGAGUGUAGAGGUGAAAUUCGUAGAUAUUCGGAAGAACACCAGUGGCGAAGGCGACUCACUGGACAAUUAUUGACGCUGAGGUGCG